UGGGGAAUAUUGCACAAUGGGCGAAAGCCUGAUGCAGCGACGCCGCGUGAGGGAUGACGGCCUUCGGGUUGUAAACCUCUUUCAGCAGGGAAGAAGCGAAAGUGACGGUACCUGCAGAAGAAGCGCCGGCUAACUACGUGCCAGCAGCCGCGGUAAUACGUAGGGCGCAAGCGUUGUCCGGAAUUAUUGGGCGUAAAGAGCUCGUAGGCGGCUUGUCACGUCGGAUGUGAAAGCCCGGGGCUUAACCCCGGGUCUGCAUUCGAUACGGGCUAGCUAGAGUGUGGUAGGGGAGAUCGGAAUUCCUGGUGUAGCGGUGAAAUGCGCAGAUAUCAGGAGGAACACCGGUGGCGAAGGCGGAUCUCUGGGCCAUUACUGACGCUGAGGAGCGAAAGCGUGGGGAGCGAACAGGAUUAGAUACCCUGGUAGUCCACGCCGUAAACGUUGGGAACUAGGUGUUGGCGACAUUCCACGUCGUCGGUGCCGCAGCUAACGCAUUAAGUUCCCCGCCUGGGGAGUACGGCCGCAAGGCUA
rnacentral:rRNA from 3 species